CCUACGGGAGGCAGCAGUAAGGAAUAUUGGUCAAUGGGCGCAAGCCUGAACCAGCCAUGCCGCGUGCAGGAAGACGGCCCUAUGGGUUGUAAACUGCUUUUGUACCGGAAUAAACCCUUUUACGUGUAGAAGGUUGAAUGUACGGUAAGAAUAAGGAUCGGCUAACUCCGUGCCAGCAGCCGCGGUAAUACGGAGGAUCCGAGCGUUAUCCGGAUUUAUUGGGUUUAAAGGGUGCGUAGGCGGCCUAUUAAGUCAGGGGUGAAAGACGGUAGCUUAACUAUCGCAGUGCCUUUGAUACUGAUGGGCUUGAAUGUACUUGAGGUAGGCGGAAUGUGACAAGUAGCGGUGAAAUGCAUAGAUAUGUCACAGAACACCAAUUGCGAAGGCAGCUUACUAAAGUAUGAUUGACGCUGAGGCACGAAAGCGUGGGGAUCAAACAGGAUUAGAUACCCUGGUAGUCCACGCCCUAAACGAUGAAUACUCGAUGUUGGCGAUAUACGGCCAGCGUCUAAGCGAAAGCGUUAAGUAUUCCACCUGGGGAGUACGCCCGCAAGGUGAAACUUAAUGAAUUGAGNGNGAGAGNGCGAGACGACGACGAGGAGAGG
rnacentral:rRNA from 1 species